rnacentral:rRNA from 1 species
UCUUCGGCAAUGGACGAAAGUCUGACCGAGCAACGCCGUGUGAGUGAAGAAGGUUUUCGGAUCGUAAAACUCUGUUGUUAGAGAAGAAUGUUGAUUAGAGUGGAAAAUUAAUCAAGUGACGGUAUCUAACCAGAAAGGGACGGCUAACUACGUUCCAGCAGCCGCGGUAAUACGUAGGUCCUGAGCGUUGUCCGGAUUUAUUGGGCGUAAAGCGAGCGCAGGUGGUUUAAUAAGUCUGAUGUAAAAGGCAGUGGCUUAACCAUUGUGUGAAUUGGAAACUGUUAGACUUGAGUGCAGUAGAGGAGAGUGGAAAUCCAUGUGUAGCGGUGAAAUGCGUAGAUAUAUGGAGGAACACCGGUGGCGACAGCGGCUCUCUGGACUGUCACUGACACUGAGGCUCGAAAGCGUGGGUAGCAAACAGG